CCUACGGGUGGCCGCAGUGGGGGAUAUUGCACAAUGGGGGGAACCCUGAUGCAGCGACGCCGCGUGGGUGAAGAAGCGCCUCGGCGCGUACAGCCCUGUCAGCAGGGAAGAAAAUGACGGUACCUGAAGAAGAAGCCACGUCUUACUACGUGCCAGCAGCCGCGGUAAGACGUAGGGGGCCAGCGUUAUCCGGAUUUAAUGGGUGUAGAGGGGGCGGAGUGGGCGAUGCAAGCCAGGAGUGAAAGCCCGGGGCCCAACCCCGGGACUGCUCUUGGAACUGGGUGGCUGGAGUGCAGUAGGGGCAGGCGGAAUGCCUGGUGUAGCGGUGAAAUGCGUAGAUAUCAGGAGGAACACCGGUGGCGAAGGCGGCCUGCUGGACUGCAACUGACGUUGAGGCCCGAAAGCGUGGGGAGCAAACAGGAUUAGAUACCCUUGUAGUC
rnacentral:rRNA from 1 species